GACGAACGCUGGCGGCGUGCUUAACACAUGCCAGUCGAACGGAAAGGCCCUGCUUUUGUGGGGUGCUCGAGUGGCGAACGGGUGAGUAACACGUGAGUAACCUGCCCUUGACUUUGGGAUAACUUCAGGAAACUGGGGCUAAUACCGGAUAGGAUCUCCUGCUGCAUGGUGGGGGUUGGAAAUUUUCGGCGGUUGGGGAUGGACUCGCGGCUUAUCAGCUUGUUGGUGGGGUAGUGGCUUACCAAGGCUUUGACGGGUAGCCGGCCUGAGAGGGUGACCGGCCACAUUGGGACUGAGAUACGGCGCAGACUCCUACGGGAGGCAGCAGUGGGGAAUAUUGCACAAUGGGCGGAAGCCUGAUGCAGCAACGCCGCGUGCGGGAUGACGGCCUUCGGGUUGUAAACCGCUUUCGCCUGUGACGAAGCGUGAGUGACGGUAAUGGGUAAAGAAGCACCGGCUAACUACGUG
rnacentral:rRNA from 1 species